rnacentral:misc_RNA from 1 species
GAUGAAGAACGCAGCGAAAUGCGAUAAGUAAUGUGAAUUGCAGAAUUCAGUGAAUCAUCGAAUCUUUGAACGCACAUUGCGCCCCCUGGUAUUCCGGGGGGCAUGCCUGUUCGAGCGUCAUUUCACCACUCAAGCCUCGCUUGGUAUUGGGCAACGCGGUCCGCCGCGUGCCUCAAAUCGACCGGCUGGAUCUUCUGUCCCCUAAGCGUUGUGGAAACUAUUCGCUAAAGGGUGUUCGGGAGGCUACGCCGUAAAACAACCCCAUUUCUAAGGUUGACCUCGGAUCAGGUAGGGAUACCCGCUGAACUUAAGCAUAUCAAUAAGCGGAGGA